UGGCAAAUAAACAUAGGAAAAUAUGUCUAAUACUAUUAGUCACUGGAGAAGUAUGAAUUAAACCCAUAAUUAGAUAAUAUUACAAACAUAGUAUAUUUUAGAUUGGUUUGUUUUGUUUUUUAGAGACAGGAUCUCACCAUGUAGCUCUGGCUGUCCUGGCACUCACUCUGUAGACCAGGCUGGCCUUGAACUCAGCCUCGAAAGUGCUGGAUUAAAGGUGUGCACCACUAUGCUCAGCUCUUUUUAGAUUAUUAUUUAUUUUUUAUGUAUGGGUGUUUUGCUUGCCUGUCUGUCUGUGCACCACUUGCACACAGUGUCUGCAUAACGCAGAAGAGGGCAUCGUAUCCUCUGGUACUGGAAUUAUGGAGCAGGAUUCAUUUUCCAGCACCUCAUGGUGGCUCACAACAUUUCUGACCAGUUCCCUGGGGAUCUGACCAUCUUUUCUGGUCUCCAGUGGCACUAGGCACACAAGGGGUGGUGUGUAGACAUACAUGCAGGCAAAAACCCAUACACAUAAAAAUUAUUCUUUAAAAAAACAUUGGCAAAUUAGCUCUGUACAAGUUUAGAUUUGUUUUAUCUGUUGGUGAAUUGUGUCUUGAAAUACCCAGAAACACCUUGGCAUAUUUCAUUUAUAAUAAUGUUGGACUCUUUCUUGGGUUGCAUUUGUUGUUGUCUUAUUUUAGCUUUGAGACAGGGCCUCACUGGAGAUUGAACCUAGGGCCUUAUUUUUGAUAGUCCAGCACUCUAUCAUGGAGACACAGCAGUUGAUUUAAAGUCAGUCUAGUAAGCACAACAUCUCAACUACUGGAUUUCCUCAGGCCACUUAUAUUGACUGUUUCAUUUCUCACAGAAGGGGCCUACUAUCCUAUUUCUUAGAGUGUCUCAUAACAGGGCUUCUUUUGUUGUUGUUUUGAGAUAGGGUCUUAUCUCAAAGACCCAGUCUGGCUUCUCACUCCCCAUGUAGUCAAGGAUGACCUUGAACUCCUAAUCCUCCAUCUUCAUCUCCAAAAUUCUGGGAUUACAGGUACCACCGCCACACCCAGUUUUAAGUGCUGCUGAGAAUUGAGCCUACGGCUUCCAACAUGCUAGAUAAACACUCUGUCAACUAAACCACAUUUCCCAGCCCUCACUAUAGGACACUUACAGUUGGAAAUGAGAAGGUCUGGAGAAAAGGCUCAGUGAUUAAAAGCACUGGCUGCUCUUCCAGAGGACCUGGUUCAAUUCCAGCACCUACAUGGUGAUUCACAACUGUCUACAGCUCUAGUUCUGAAGGGGUUAAACUCUCCCACUCUCACAACUGCAUUUAGUUUUCAGUUCUCUGAGAAGAGCAAACCAGGUGUCUCCCCCAGCAAAGGGCCCUUUAUCCACAAUGCCCUUACAUUCAGGGACAAGAGCAGAGCCAGCCUCACCAUGUCUCAAAGACAAACCCAGCAGCCUCUUCUGAGUCACGUCUGAACUUGCCCAAGUUUGUUCGAGUAUGUCCAAAAAUGAUAAGACUAAACCUCAGCCAAUUAAAAGUAUACUAAUGUAACUGCUGCUUGCUUAACCAAUUAUAUAUGCGAUCACCUAACUGUCCCUGAAACUCCUCUUAGCUGUGCUUAAAAGGAGCCUGCACACUCCUCUCCGGGUCAUCACCAUUUUGUUGAGAGUGACCAGCUGCUUGACUACCCUGCCCUCAUGACUUCCUCCACGAUGGACCAAUCGACAUCAGCCCAGACACAGCCUUUCUUCCUCAAGUUACUUCUUGUAAGUAUGUGUUCACUGCAAGGAGAGAAUAGUUCACAUGUGGGGUCUUUUCCGGGCUUGCACACGGCCUACCAUGUGUGUACAGCCUUCUGGGUGUCCCUAUGACAGUGCACUCCCCGGAUUUCCCAGGCCUUUCUGGGUUCCAGCUGCUUUUGCUGCCUGGGGCAGUUGCACUGUUAAACAAUUACCUCUGAUGGCUUCCCACUGAAACCCCAGGAGUAGGGUUUAGCUCAGAGCAAACUUCCAGUCAGGUCAAAUCAAAAUAAAACCUAAAAAGUACACAUAAGAAGUGAAGGAAAACAAACAAACAAAAACCCCCAAGAUCUAUGAAUGGGGCUUUUCCAGGGAGCUGC
rnacentral:lncRNA from 1 species